rnacentral:lncRNA from 1 species
GCUCUCCUCCUCGCCCCAGUGCCUGGGUUUAUUUAGGCUUUCUCCCUCCCCUUUUUUAAUGAAAGCUGAGCUUUUAGAGUAAGACGCAGCCCGUCUGCUUUCCCACCACCCCCGUCCUGCUCUCCCGCAGCCCCGUGGGCACACGCGGGGGAUACACCCGACGGCGGUGCCGCUGGGUGAAUUUGCUCUUGCUUUUUUUAAUUAAUUCUACAGGCAUUUGAGAGGCGAAUAAAAUGCCACGAGCUGCGGGUGACCUGCGGGAGGAUUAGCUGGGGUGGGGAUUAACCGCGCUGGGAGGGCAGACGAGCCCGGGACGGCUGCGGAGGCCGCGAGCCGCGCUCACCCGGGGCGAUGCUCCGUGGGGGAGCCCCCGCGCCCCCGUCAGCAGCAUCACUCCCUUCCUUCCCUCCUUCCUUCCUUCCCUUCUUCCUUCCUUCCUCUCUCUCUGUUCCUUCCUCUCUUCCUUCUUUCCUUUCUUCCUUCCUCUCUCUCUGUUCCUUCCUCUCUUCCUUCUUUCCUUUCUUCCUUCCUCUCUCUCUGUUCCUUCCCCUCUUCCUUCUUUCCUUUCUUCCUUUUUCUUUUCCUUCCUUCUUCCCUUCCUUUCAUUUUUUUUCUUUUUCUCUUUCUUUCUCUCUUCCUUCCUUUUCUUUUUCUUUGUCUCUCUCCUUCCCUCCUACCUUUUCAUUUUCUUUCCUUCCUUCUUUUUUCUCUCUUCCUUUCUUCCUCUCUCUCUCCUUCCUUCAUUUUCUUUCUUUUUCUCCYUUCUUGUUCUUUCUUYUCCUUUCUCUCUCUUUCCUUCCUUCCUUCCAUGUUUUCUUUCUUUUUCUCUUYUYUUGCUUUCACUUUCUUUCUCUCUCCUUCCUUCCUAGCUCCCUUUCAUUUUCUCUUUUUCACUUUUCUUUCUUUCCUUUUCUUUCCUUCUUUCUUUUUCUUUCUUUUUCUCUCUCUCUCUCCCUUCCAUCCUUCUCUCCCUCCCUCUCUUCCCCUGCUCUGACUGCCUCGCGUCGCCCCGUGGUACCAGGCUUCGCUCUGCCGGCGCUGCCCGGGGACCGGAGCGCGGUGCCCCGCAGCGAGCGGCUG